GACUUGAAGUAGAAGAGGUUAACGAAAUACGUGGUGUCAUGAGUUUAGCCUGUCUGGUCUGUCUGCGCAGGCGCCUGUAUCUACUUCCGCUCAUCACGACAUUAUGGAUUAUCAUGUCACUUUUCAUAUCAUAUGGAAUAGCAGUGAGCUAUGGCCAUACGGAGCCAGACUUCCCUUAUAUAAGUCACACAGCCAUUGAAGCACCAGAACGAUGUGUCUUCGGUCAGCUGGUCAAUAUAGGAGCCGUCAUGCGUGAGUAAACACCUUUA